GACGAACGCUGGCGGCGUGCUUAACACAUGCAAGUCGAACGGAAAGGCCCUGCUUUUGUGGGGUGCUCGAGUGGCGAACGGGUGAGUAACACGUGAGUAACCUGCCCUUGACUUUGGGAUAACUUCAGGAAACUGGGGCUAAUACCGGAUAGGAGCUCCUGCUGCAUGGUGGGGGUUGGAAAGUUUCGGCGGUUGGGGCUGGGCUCGCGGCUUAUCAGCUUGUUGGUGGGGUAGUGGCUUACCAAGGCUUUGACGGGUAGCCGGCCUGAGAGGGUGACCGGCCACAUUGGGACUGAGAGACGGCCCAGACUCCUACGGGAGGCAGCAGGGGGGAAUAUUGCACAAUGGGCGGAAGCCUGAUGCAGCAACGCCGCGUGCGGGAUGACGGCCUUCGGGUUGUAAACCGCUUUCGCCUGUGACGAAGAGUGAGUGACGGUAAUGGGUAAAGAAGCACCGGCUAACUACGUG
rnacentral:rRNA from 1 species